GCCUGUUUGCCCUGAUUUCCUCGGUGACUACG
rnacentral:scRNA from 1 species